UACAAGGUAGAUUCUAUUAGCAUAUGUAUUUUAUAGAUGAGGAAGCAGGCACAGAGACAUCAAGUGUCAUGCUUCAUUUUACAAAGCUGGAACAUGCUGGAGUCAGAACCCAACCAGGCAGUCUUGCUUCAGACUCUCCGCAUCUAUGACUCUGUAACCGUCAGUAGCUACUGCCUCCAUCUGCUUUCAUCACUGCAGAGGCAGACAACACCACCCUGCAAGAUAGUCGACUUUCAGACUUGAAGCCACAUCCAUUCUGCUAAAAUGCACAGAAAGAAAACCAGAAGAGAGACAGCAGCAAGAGCUGCAGGCGAGGCUGGGCAUGGAUUCCAGGGGAAGGAGAUGACAGUGGGAGGAAUGGCCAUCAUUCCAAAAGGGCUGGAUUGCACAGCAGGGCAGCAUCGCAAGAGUAGGAAGGGCUGUUCAACAAUGUGGCCUCCCCUGCAAGAGUCACACCUGUUAUUCAGCCUCUGCUUCAGCGUUCCAGAGAGGAGGCUCCCUGCUGCGGCAAAUCCCAAUGCUGGACAGCUCUGAGCAGAUGAUGGUUCUUCUUGGUGUUGGUUCUGAACCCUGCCCCUCUAUGUCCACCAGCCUUUCAUUCUAGAAGACACAACCGUCAACUCUGGGAAGACUCGGCAGGGGGCAUAUUUCUGAAAGUUCUAUUUCCACAGAUGGUGUGAAAUCAGCAAAGGAAAAUGCUGCUUCUGUCCAGACAGCUCUUCCACUCUUUAUUCUCACUCUAUGAGUCACUGGGUUGACUGUUGAUUUCGUUGCUGAACUGGGAUUCCUUAACUUGCGCAUUCAUUUAUUCAAUAAAUAUUUGUUUCAUGUUUA